AUAACAGCUCACUAACUAGGUAACUACCAUAACAGCUCACUAACCAGGUAACUACCGUAACAGCUCACUAACGAGGUAACUAUCGUAACAGCUCACUAACGAGGUAACUACCGUAACAGCUCACUAACCAGGUAACUACUGUAACAGCUAACCAGGUAACUACCGUAAGGGCUCAUUAACUAAAGAGGUAACUACCGUGACAGCUCGCUCACUAAUGAGGUAACUACCAUGACAGCUCACUAAGUAAGUAACUACCGUGACGGCUCACUGAGUAAGUAACUACCGUGAUGGCUCACUAAAUAAGUAACUACCGUGACGGCUCACUAAGGCUUACUCUCAGUUCUGGAGGCCACAGUCCCAGAUUAGGAUGCCAGCAGGUUGAGUUUGUCUCGAGGCUUCUGUUCUUGUCUGAAAGUGCAUGUGAGACAGAGAAGACAGGCAUCUGCAACAGGGUCUCAUGACGAGCAAGCACCUUCCCUCAGCCCUCCAGCUCGCCAGGACCUUGGGCUCAUGUGCCCAACUUGUUUCAGGUUGACUCACAGGAUCCGAACCUGUGAUCUGCUGUGUGGCUUCCAGCGCUGCAGAUCGGUUCACGACCACCUGCGCCAUCAAAGCUGGGCCUCAUUCCGUUUCGAUUUACCUUUAAAUGCAUGGGAUGUGUGACUAGUGGUGUCUGAUUGGGCAGUGCAGCUCUGAAUGGGUGGAGGCUCCAUUCUGUUGACCUUCAGCGAACACCGCAGGGAGAGGGCACGGAGAAUCCGGGACCAGCCUUUAAAGGCGACAACCAGGAAGUGACGCGCGUCGCCUGUGGUCACAGCCCACCCGCAGGACGGGGGUGGGGAGCGUAGUCCUCCCAUGCUCAGACAGGAGAGGAGACCGGGGAAAUGGGUGAGCGCCAGGGAGACCUUCCGCGCACUUUCCACUGUACCUCGUGCACGGAAAUGACCUGAUCGUAUUUUGGUUGGACGGAGACAGCGCACACCUGGAGAGGAGCGCCGGCGAGACCUCGCUCGCAGCCUGGGCCGGCGACGCGGCGAAUUCUUUUCUAACAGCGACGACUCGUGGCCAAGUCUAUGAACUACACCCUGUCUGGCCCCGGGCGUCACCGUGGACCUCCGGGUCGUCAGGGCUCACUUGCCGCCAUCAGGAUUUAGUACCUCCAAGUAAAGCACUGUCUCAGAC